rnacentral:lncRNA from 1 species
CUCCAUAAAAGAUAUAUUACAGAACCCCCAUAAUAUGUGUAUAAGAGCCAUAUUUUUAUAGGGUUACAAGAAUGGUAUACAACCUAUAUACAAGUUGUUCAAGCUAUUUACAAUGUCACAUACAACAUGUAUACAAGUUGUUCAAGCUAUUUACAAUGUCACUGAAAACGCAUACAGUUGUGCAUAUCUGCAUAGGUCAGAAAUAUCAGGUUGUGUAUGUCAAAAGAUCAAAUACAAUUUUUACUUUCCACAACCACAACCCAGCUCAGCCAGCUGCCUCUAUUGUAGUUUGUAUUAUGUGAGAUUAGUGAAGGUGAAUCCCAUAUUAAAAUAGCAUUCAAUAUGGGAAUGGGGGUGGGGUAACGGUGGUAGUACUAUGUGAG